rnacentral:rRNA from 1 species
GUCCACGCUGUAAACGAUGAGUGCUAGGCGUUGGGGGUAUUGACCCCCCCAGUGCCGCAGCUAACGCGUUAAGCACUCCGCCUGGGGAGUACGGCCGCAAGGCUAAAACUCAAAGGAAUUGACGGGGGCCCCGCACAAGCGGUGGAGCAUGUGGUUUAAUUCGACGCAACGCGAAGAACCUUACCUGGGUUAAAUCCACCGGAAUCCUUAGGAGACUAGGGAGUGCUCUUCGGAGAACCGGUGAGAAGGUGCUGCAUGGCUGUCGU